rnacentral:misc_RNA from 1 species
CAAUCUCCCUUCUCUCAACUUAUUAUCAAGUUCACUCACUUGGCUAAAAUGUGCCCUUUUGUGAAUAUUUUGGACUUACUUUAUUUCAAAGCCACUGUGUUUAAAUGUGCAUAUGAUGCAUGGGGUGUUUUUAUGCUUUGAUUUUGAUCCUUGUACGAGGUGGUCUCUUAUGCAAGCUAUACAUGCCACUGUGUUGCCUCUAGUGUCAACUUGAUGUAGUAGUGAAAUGGGGAAUAAAAUGUUUAUGCAUGUGUAGAACAAAAUGUAACACUACUCUUUGGACACUACAGUUUUGAUGAGGCUGUUGAAGAUGUUGUCUAUCCAAAAGGGGAUUCAGAUGCAGUUUCCAUUUGUAAGAGAGAUUUUGAUCUACUAC